rnacentral:rRNA from 1 species
UUGGCGGACGGGUGAGUAACGCGUGGAAAACCUGCCGUAUACUGGGGGAGUAACACUUAGAAAUAGGUGCUAAUACCGCAUAAGCGCACAGCUUCGCAUGAAGCGGUGUGAAAAACUCUGGUGGUAUACGAUGGUUCCGCGUCUGAUUAGCUAGUUGGUGGGGUAAUGGCCUACCAAGGCAACGAUCAGUAGCCGGCCUGAGAGGGUGAACGGCCACAUUGGGACUGAGACACGGCCCAAACUCCUACGGAAGGCAGCAG